UACUUCGCGUUCCAUCCUCGGGACCUGCGAGCGCUUGUGUUUGGCGGUCCUUGUUCCACCCGCGACAACGGCUAUUCAUAACGUCCCCACAUGACGUUGAGUUGAGCGACAUCUCUGGAGGGGACGGGGAGCUGAUUUUGAUCGAUGCACAUCAAGACGUCCAGGCCUAUUCAGCCGGAGGAAUUCCACCGUCACUGAGACUUAUUCCGGAGCGGAGCGAUUCAGAAACCACUCGGAUCCCCGAAAAAAUCAUAUCUUAUUCCGCCCACGAGCCCGCCCGCUGAUAUAUACGUCGAGGAGCGGCCUCACGGAUGCGCAAAAGCUCAGCACUGGUUUGAAUGGCUACCAACGGUUCGUACGCUUUCUCUCAGCCGCCGCUACGAGCACUAAAGACCGGUCACCUACUCAGAUACAAAAAGAGACUUCUCAACAAAGAUUGGCGCAAAGAAUUCAUCGUCUUAUUGAACGACUCAUCCUUGGUCUGGUUCAAGGAUGGUGACCGCCAAGCCCCGGCAGGUCGACUCUUCUUGAGAGAUGCACCGCAACUUAUCGCCUAUGGUCAAUAUACGAGCAAGGUCCCGAUGAAGCCGACGAAACUACCUCACGGUUAUACGGAGGAUCAGUUGCUGGUGUUCGGUGAGGUCACAAAAAGCAAAAAAGGUUUCGUGGUCACAGUACAUUGGUUCCUCGCGGAGCGUGUAGCGGACACCCAAGAGUGGAUCAAUGCCAUCGUCACAACGCUUCCGCCGCCGCCUCCACCACCAUAUUCAGAAACUGAUGAGUUGCAUGGGAAACAGAGAAACUGUGACAGUAGACUGUCUGCGAACAAGUUGAAAGAGAAAGCCAUUCGAGAUAAUCAGGAGGCCGCCAUGAACGUAGCGCUCAACACAGGCACUUCGACCGGUUGGGGCCGAGGAUCUGGUUGGAGUGUUCAGGGGGACCCUACGCAAAUACUCUGCUAUUACGCCGCUGCGGAGGCGGCUCUCGCAGAUCUUGGGGCUCCCGAUCUAGCAUUUGACAUUCCCACCGAUGUGGAUCUCGGGGAUAUGGAUAUCGGAGACUCUUUCCUGGGCGAUUUCGGAGACAUAGGAGGAGCAAUCGACUUCGGCGGAUUUUUCUGA